CUUCCUUCUUUUCUGACUAUUAAACUUUUCACUCCUUAAAACCACUGCCGAUGAUGGGUUGAUGGGUGCAGUAAACCACAUGGCACACACAUAGCUUCAGGCCUCUGAGCACAAGCUAAGCCAUCAUAUCUCCUGUGACCUGCAUGUAUACAUCCAGAUGGCCUGAAGAAAUUGAAGAAUCCCAGAAGUGAAAAUGGCUGGUUCUUGCCUUAACUGAUGACAUUCCACCAUUGUGAUUUUUUUCUGCCCCAAUUUAACUGAGUGAUUAACCUUGUGAAAUUCUUUCUCCUGGCUCAGAAGCUCCCUCACUGAGCAUCUUGUGACGCCCGCCCCUGCCUGCAAGAGAAAAACCCCGUUUGACUGUAAUUUUCCAUUAUCCACUCAAAUCCUAUAAGACAGCCCCACCCCAUCUCCCUUCACUGACUCUCUUUUCAAACUCAGGCCGCCUGCACCCAGGUGAUUGAAAAGUUUCAUUGCUCACACAAGGCCUGUUUUGUGGUCUCUUCACAUGGACGCGCAUGACAUUUGCUGUGGAAAUCUGGGACAGGAGGACUUCUUCAGGAUACCAGUCCCCUAUCCUAUCCCUCAUUCUGUGAGAGAUCCACAUAUGACCUCGGGUCCUCAGACCAACAAGCCCAAGGAACAUCUCACCAAUUUCAAAUCAGGGUGAGUCUAAAAACACCUGACAAUUGAUAAUAGUGAACAGAAGUCACCAGCCAAGGGUGGAGACAAGAUGGCUGAAUAGGAACAGUUCCAGCCUACAGCUCCCAGCAUGAGCGAUGCAGAUGAUGGGUGAUUUCUACAUUUCCAACUGACGGCUGUCCUUCUAGACAAAGAGGUGCAGAUGCUGUCUUCUCCCUAGUGCUCACCUUUCUUCCUGAACCUUGAUGACAAUGUGUCGCCUAUAAGCAUUCUGUCCAUAAAAUUUCACAACAUGGGUACCAAUUUUUUUAUUAUCAAUGACUAGCUUCUAGCACAUCACAUGAAGUGCACAAUUACUGUCCUCAUAUUUUAAUCUCCAACAUCAUUUAUGAAGACAACAACAGUUUUAUAGCCUAAUGGUCUUGCUCAAAAUAAGUUUGCUACAUCUGAGUACUCUAAACAAGUGAUUUUGUGUGUAGAGCUUAUAUAUUAAUUAUCAAUCUCUUCACUCCUUUAUUCACUUGGACAUAAAUGUCUUGUUUACUGUUUGUAAGGCACAUACAGAAAUUAAUAAAAUACAGGCUGUGCUCUUGAUAUUACAGACUCAACAUAGA